GAAAGAUAUUUUUUCGUCAAGUCUGUCGAAACAAGUUGUCUACAUUUAUUUUAUUUUUCUCGUUGCUUAUCAGGGAGUUCCGGAGGACCCUGGAUUUAGUCGCCGAUCCCAUUCCGGGAUAUUGCCCAUACUGCAGUAUUACUUCGCUUCAAUGAUUCCCAGAGUUGUCACAGGAGAACGACAGUUGAGCCCAACUAGAGGUUACAACCAUGUACUAGCACUUGAUUGCACCAGCAAUGACGGUUCCUGCACAUGGAUCAAUCCGGAAUACUGCAAAGAUUCAGAAAGCUUCUGCGGAAACACUGCGGAAUGUCUGGUCGUCACAAAAUCAGUCAACUCGUCAUACUCAUUCGAGAUGAACUCUUCAUACAACCAUCAAUACCAGUGCCGGUGUCCUGUCGGCAAUACGAAUAACUGCAACCCACCAAACGUGGAACUCAACUGUAUAACACUUGAGCCAACGAACACUAAUGUGAGCAUUGAGGUCGAGAAUGGUUUCCUUUUAAACGUCGUUUACGCCGAAAUGUGGAGGUGUCCCGUUGGAGAUAAUUCCGUCAUGCAGUGUCCAUCAAGAAGGUUGACAGGAAAUGAACUGGGAUGUAAGAGUCCCCCUCAGCUUCUCCCAAAUGUGUUUGCCCUCGUACGAUUUUGGUGUCAGUUCAAAAAAACGACGUGCAAGUUCGAUUCAUCGCUAAUUCUGUCCCAUGUUGGUCAAUCAAUCCAGUUACCAGAGCAAUCUGCGUUACCAGAACACUAUAUCUUUGAAUCGGGAAGUGGAAUGGUUAGUAGUGCAAAUUUCUCCUGUGGGAAUUCUUCACAGACCGUUUUCGAUGAUGAUUCCUGUUAUACGUUGACACCGACGAACCUCGAAUGGGGAGUUGCCCGAUCGCAUUGUCUUCAGCUUGGAGGUGACUUGGCUCAUUUUACGGAAGAUACAAAUUUUGCCUCUAUUCUGCGACGUUUGGACAAAUCCACUCCGUCAAAUAUUACAUAUUUGACCGCUGUUCAUAUAUGGUUCAAAUGGUAUACAUGGACUGGGGAUCAGCGUAUGCCACAACACUUCCAGCAGUAUACGGAUAGAUUCCAAUGCCCCGUUUACGAUUUUUUGCCGGAAGAGGGGACUAAUGCACUAGCUGGAUGCGAAGCCGGAACAAGAUCUAAAAACGUCCGCGGACUUUGCGUUUUUUCGCCAAGGCCAUGGACGUUGUCUUGUCCGGCCAAAUGCGACGUCUCCGGGUAUCCAGGCUACUGUUGGACAGAAGCAGAGGCCGAUACCAAGGUCUCAACUAGUUGCCCGAACGGAUUAAAUGGUAAUGCAACGUGGACUUGCGGUAUUGAUGGUAAAUGGACAACUCAAUCUCCUGACCUGAGCAACUGUACAAAUCCCGUUGUUGAAGAUUCAAUCAAUCAAGUCAACAAUGAUAUUGCAAACGGCGAAGAUCCAAGCGAGUCAUUGAAUAGUCUCACUAAUGUCGUCAAGGAAAACGGAAUAGCGCCGGGAAACCUUGUGCAGCUUGACCAGACAGUCAGCUUUGCUAUUGAACAGCAGACUUCACUAAUGGCUAAUACGACAGACGCGAGUUUGAGAGAGGAGAGCUGCAAGAAUUUCACUAUUUCUGUAAUUGAUUUAAAUGGUGUUGUGUUGGGAAGUGCCAGCGCAUUUUGGGGUUUGAAUUGGGAAGCACGCAGCGAAGCUAUCAGUGAAGUGCAAAAGAACGUUGACGACACCUUAUUUUUACUGGCGGAAAAUCUCCUUGAUAAAGUUUAUCAAUACGGCAAUAUAAGUGAUCAAAACAUAGCUAUACAGGUAGAGAACAAAGAGCAAACAGAAUACAACGAUACAACGUAUGCCUACGUUGCAGCAGAUGAAGAUCAACUGAUUCUUCCAGCCGGAUUUCCCGAUUCGACCAAUACCACCAAUACCCGACUUUCUUUUGUCACUUAUAACGCAUUUCAGGACCUUCUCUAUGGUGAUACAUUGGCUCAACUGUCAGCGGAGAACCCAACCACAUUCGAACCAAUUGGACAAGUCGUGGUGACAAAAGUGCUGGGUGCUACACUUGGUCAACCAAACGGAUCUAUCCAUUUUGUGGACGGAAAGGUCGAAAUUCUCCUGAGUACUUUGAAUCUUGAUCGAUAUGAAGUUAAUGAGGUGAAUGCAACUUGCGUAUUUUGGGAUACUUUGACUCAAGAAUGGUCAUCCGAGGGGUGUGAAGUGGUGAAAACUAACGGUACAUCAACCACAUGCCAGUGCGAUCACUUAACCAAUUUUGCAGUUUUAAUGGAUAUCAACGGCCUCUUUAAAAACGAGACGAAACCCGACUACCCCGCACUAGAUUACAUCACCAUAAUCGGCGGAAGCAUUUCUAUCGUUUGCUUGACGUUGGCUGUCAUUAUCUUUUACUGGAAGCUACUACCAACCGAGAUCUCUGCCUAUCCAUCGCCGUAUUCCUGCACUUUUUUUUCCUCUGCGCUUUCAGCUGGAUGGUUGUGGAGGGUCUUUAUCUCUAUUUCCUCAUCACUAAAGUUUUCGAUGGAAGUGGAUUGAAACAGUGGCAGUACUACGUCAUCGGGUACGGAGUACCUGUUUUAACUCUUACCAUUACUCUAGCCGUAACCAAAACGGAAGCUUACCUCGGUGAUCCUCUUUCAUAUUGCUGGUUAAGUUAUGAAAAUGGGGCAAUAUGGGCCUUUGCUGGACCGGUUGCAGCCGUUGUUUUU
rnacentral:misc_RNA from 1 species